UACGUAGGUGGCGAGCGUUAUCCGGAAUGAUUGGGCGUAAAGGGUGCGUAGGCGGCCUGCUAAGUCUGGAGUGAAAGGUACCGGCUCAACCGGUACAGGCUCUGGAAACUGGCGGGCUAGAGAGCAGGAGAGGGCGGUGGAACUCCAUGUGUAGCGGUAAAAUGCGUAGAUAUAUGGAAGAACACCAGUGGCGAAGGCGGCCGCCUGGUCUGCAACUGACACUGAGGCGCGAAAGCGUGGGGAGCAAACAGG
rnacentral:rRNA from 1 species